GGAAUUACUGGGCUUAAAGAGUUCGUAGGCGGCGCAGAAAGUAGGGUGUGAAAGCCCUCGGCUCAACCGAGGAAUUGCGCUCUAAACUACUGUGCUCGAGGAACCUAGAGGUGAGCAGAACUGAUGGUGGAGCGGUGAAAUGCGUUGAUAUCAUCAGGAAUACCGGAGGCGAAGGCGGCUCACUGGGGGUUUUCUGACGCUGAGGAACGAAAGCCAGGGGAGCGAACGGG
rnacentral:rRNA from 1 species